UCUGGUAGAUCUGUCUCCAGGUCAGAUGGCUGGACUGAUGGCUGAAGGUCUGCCUGGUCUUCCAGAGAUUGUGGUCAUCAAUACGGUAUUUGAUUAUCUGCUGGUGUCUCCUGAGGAACGAGGACUUCCUGCUGUUCUUCAAGAACUGCUCUUAAUCUCAGAGAAGGUCUCUAUCUCCUGCAGCUCCUACACACUGAUAUUUGAGAGUCUGUUUAAGGCUCU